AAGGUUUUAAGUUAAGGUAAACUCAUAGCCUUCAAAGCUAUUAAUAAAGAGAAUUCUUUAAGCCUUA
rnacentral:tRNA from 1 species